GGUUAAGCGACUAAGCGUACACGGUGGAUGCCCUGGCAGUCAGAGGCGAUGAAGGGCGUGCUAAUCUGCGAUAAGCGCCGGUAAGGUGAUAUGAACCGUUAUAACCGGCGAUACCCGAAUGGGGAAACCCAGUGUGACUCGUCACACUAUCAUUAACUGAAUCCAUAGGUUAAUGAGGCGAACCGGGGGAACUGAAACAUCUAAGUACCCCGAGGAAAAGAAAUCAACCGAGAUUCCCCCAGUAGCGGCGAGCGAACGGGGAGGAGCCCAGAGCCUGAAUCAGCAUGUGUGUUAGUGGAAGCGUCUGGAAAGGCGCGCGAUACAGGGUGACAGCCCCGUACACAAAAGCGCAUGUGCUGUGAGCUCGAUGAGUAGGGCGGGACACGUGGUAUCCUGUCUGAAUAUGGGGGGACCAUCCUCCAAGGCUAAAUACUCCUGACUGACCGAUAGUGAACCAGUACCGUGAGGGAAAGGCGAAAAGAACCCCGGCGAGGGGAGUGAAAAAGAACCUGAAACCGUGUACGUACAAGCAGUGGGAGCCCCACCACCAAAGCAUUCUCUGGUGUUGAAGGCCCUGCAAAGCAGCAUCGCGGUGGCGGAGCGUCGUUUGCGACGCCCAACACACAAAACAAGCGGUGAGUGCUUUGGGGUGGGGUGACUGCGUACCUUUUGUAUAAUGGGUCAGCGACUUAUAUUCUGUAGCAAGGUUAACCGAAUAGGGGAGCCGGAGGGAAACCGAGUCUUAAUUGGGCGUUAAGUUGCAGGGUAUAGACCCGAAACCCGGUGAUCUAGCCAUGGGCAGGUUGAAGGUUGGGUAACACUAACUGGAGGACCGAACCGACUAAUGUUGAAAAAUUAGCGGAUGACCUGUGGCUGGGGGUGAAAGGCCAAUCAAACCGGGAGAUAGCUGGUUCCUCCCCGAAAGCUAUUUAGGUAGCGCCUCGUGAAUUCAUCGUCCGGGGGUAGAGCACUUGUUUCGGCUAGGGGGCCAUCCCGGCUUACCAACCCG
rnacentral:rRNA from 1 species